rnacentral:rRNA from 1 species
GACGAACGCUGGCGGCGUGCUUAACACAUGCAAGUCGAACGCUGAAGCUUGGUGCUUGCACUGGGUGGAUGAGUGGCGAACGGGUGGGUAAUACGUGAGUAACCUGCCCUUGACUCUGGGAUAAGCCUGGGAAACUGGGUCUAAUACUGGAUACGACAUGUCACCGCAUGGUGGUGUGUGGAAAGGGUUUUACUGGUUUUGGAUGGGCUCACGGCCUAUCAGCUUGUUGGUGGGGUAAUGGCUCACCAAGGCGACGACGGGUAGCCGGCCUGAGAGGGUGACCGGCCACACUGGGACUGAGACACGGCCCAGACUCCUACGGGAGGCAGCAGUGGGGAAUAUUGCACAAUGGGCGGAAGCCUGAUGCAGCGACGCCGCGUGAGGGAUGACGGCCUUCGGGUUGUAAACCUCUUUCAGCACGGAAGAAGCGAAAGUGACAGUACGUGCAGAAGAAGCGCCGGCUAACUACGUG